AAAUUGAAGAGUUUGAUCAUGGCUCAGAUUGAACGCUGGCGGCAGGCCUAACACAUGCAAGUCGAACGGUAACAGGAAGCAGCUUGCUGUUUCGCUGACGAGUGGCGGACGGGUGAGUAAUGUCUGGGAAACUGCCUGAUGGAGGGGGAUAACUACUGGAAACGGUAGCUAAUACCGCAUAAUGUCGCAAGACCAAAGAGGGGGACCUUCGGGCCUCUUGCCAUCGGAUGUGCCCAGAUGGGAUUAGCUAGUAGGUGGGGUAACGGCUCACCUAGGCGACGAUCCCUAGCUGGUCUGAGAGGAUGACCAG
rnacentral:rRNA from 1 species